CUCCCUAAAAAAACCCAACCACCCCGAAUCAGUCUCAGCCCACUCCCGUGCGUGCUGGAUAGGGUUCCCCGCCACACUCACCGGUAGUCGCCGCUGCCCUCACCGGUCGCCGCCACCGUCGAUUUCCCCUACAUGGCCGGAGGAUAGGCCAUCCCGCCUGUCCAUUCCCGCUCCACCGCGAGGGAGGAGACCGACCAGUUGCGCCUCCCUGCCGGUCGCUGCCCGCCACCACAAGGAUCAAGGCCGGCGGCGCCGGUCCCCGUCGGUCGCUGCUUCGGAUCCAGGCCGCCCACCGCCCCGCCCCCGUCAGCCCGGUCUAUUUCCCACCGGAUCCCAUCUUGGCCGUCGUCCGACGCGCCUUCUUCAAGGAUCUGCGACCCCAUGUCUCAGAGGAGCUAGCCCCAAUGCCAUUGAUGCCCGAGCGACGCUCCCAAGCUAGGAGCGGCACCAGGACGACCACGCCCCCAAAGCCUAAACUGCAAGGAUAAAGCGAUUGGACGAGGCGUGCCUUGAGAGUAUCAACAAUACAAUAGAACAUACAUCCAGUCGUGGAUUCUUCAGGGUCCAUGUGAAUGGCAGAGUUGUGAACAAAGCUGGAACGCAAGUAUCUGACAAGUCAAUCAUAUAACUCAAGGUUGAAAUCCUGAAAUAUGUAUGUAGGGUUGGGCAUAAGCUUGAGGCAGCUGUCAAAGAAUUUGGAGUUGACUGUGAUGGAAAGAUAGCCCGUGAUCCAGCGCUGUCUACAGGUGGUUUUACCUAAUGCUUACUUCAGCAUGAGGAAAUUUAGAAAACUGUUCAAUUCAUGAACUCCAAUGGAUAAAUCUACCCAAAAAUUUCAGCACAUGGUUUCCAAUUCAAAAGAUCAAACACAGCAAACUGGUUGUUUAGCCCAGCACUAAAAAUCAAACUCACCUCUAUCAAAUCUCAGGCUAGCGUACUCCUUAUAAAAGGCUGAAGUUUAGUGGUGUUUUUCUAUGCCAGCCAAUGUUAGGUAAUGGAUUUUGUUAAUGUUUCCUAUGGUGAUGAUUUUGGAGUUGCAUAUAUUGUUUCUUCUAGAUACGCGCUAAGUCUUCGAUUAUCAUGUAUUGUAUAUUUUUUUUCUGCAUUUCUGCAUUAAACAAUGGUACGGCUUUGACUAUUUUCCUAUACAUAUCACAUUGACAGAACCGUGCCUGAAAGAGUAAUAUCUUCAAGCGAUGAAACUUUGAAUGGAACAACAGCUUGCAAAUUAUAUGUUAGUGGAGAUCCACCAGAGAUAAAAUUGUUUAUUUUGGGUCUACAUGUUGUCAGCUAAAAACUGUUUUCACUGAAUUAGUAGAUCUAAACCUUGAUCGUACUUUUGUUUCUUUGUAGUAGCCCCAGACUGAACCAUACUUCCACAAAUAUACCUCUGUGACAUAUUCAAAAGCCAACUAAACAUAAACAAUCAAACUUCUAAUUAGUAAAUAACAAAGGAGUAUAAUUCCGUCGUUCCAUAAAUAACCAUUGCAAACGGCUAUAACUUCUACAAUGUCGUAAUUAUUUUGAACAUUUAUAAGUUUCCGUAACAUAUGUACGUGGUUGAUGUUAUUUUCAUAUUUAUUCCGGAACAAAAAGAUGCAAUUCCAUCACGAUUAGUUUGAGCAGAUACUCCAAUUUGUUCCAAUCGAAACUAAAAUAUUACUACAACCAUUUAAGAACAGUUCAAUGGAAAACUGAUGUCAAGUCUAAGAGCAUGUACUGUAGUGAUCCACAAUUACUAUUUCUGUUUACAAUUGUUUGUAAUUUCAUUGUUGUCCCAAAAUAUGAAUAUACAAACACUAUUGAAGGACAUUUACUAUGCCAUCUUACUAUUCUCGGCCGUUCGUGUAAGUACAUCAGUUUAAUCUGUUUGUAUAUUAUUUGUAGAACCUUAUUGACGUAGCUAGCUUUAAAGUUUCCAUUGGGGCGAUCAAGAACCCUGAUCAAGUGGAUUUAAAUGUGCAGUUGUUUCGUCGCUAUGAGGGUCUGGUGUUUGACGACCACCCCGUGCGUUCAUGCAAACGAGACAUUGCAAACGAUCUUUAAUUUGGUGCAACAUAACUCCCGACAAGCACCGACGUCUGCCAUUAGGGCGAGCAAGAACCCUGAUCCUCCUCCGUCAGCCACUACCGCGAGCAAGAACCUUGAUCCUUCACCUACGGGUUGACGAUUUGCUUCAGAUCACGGAAGCUUGGGUUGAUGGAGUGCUUGUCUUUAGUUUUUGUUUU